rnacentral:lncRNA from 1 species
AUACUCUCAUGCGCUGCCUCUUCCAUUUUCUCUCAUCUGUCUCGCAGCCGAUCUUCCUAACCUCCCAUCUUCCCCAUGGCUACCAAAAAAAAAAAAAAAAAACUUAAUUCUCUUGCUCCAUGAAAUGCGUAAAAAUAAAACAUGAUUUCAUCCUCUUUGAAAACACUUUAAGAAAAAAACCCUUCAAAACAUUAUUUUAUCCUCUUUGAGAGCACCUAAAGAAAAGCCCUUCUCUUCCACGAGUCCAUUCGGAAAUAUGAGGUUCAAAGCCCUCUUCGUUGCGAAGGUUUUAAUACCUGCUGAAUCACCAUAUCGUUAAGUUCUCUUCUCCAACUUUGUUUUUCGUAUUUGAAAUGUUUUGGUUAAACUUCAGGUUUUAAUUGGUUUUCAAAACAUCAUGCCAACAUAAAAACCGAACCUUUGAAAGUAAUUUUUGGUUAAACUGCUGAAUUUCUUGUAUUUUCCGCGCUGUUUGGAUACUUGGGUUGUUUUGUUAAUUUUUGCAGGAAUAAGCUUUGUGACAACACAGAGUGCAUUUUGGUAAUUUUUGUGUGUAUAUUCUCUGAUUUAUUGUGUGCCUUUCCAUAUCCCGAUUGUGAUCUCUAUUUGGUGCUCUUCCUUUUCUGGAAAAAAUAAUAAUUAAAAUUAAGAUUCAUUCUAAGAAAAAACAAUUUCCUAUGCAAUGAGAAGCGGGGGCACCAAUUGAAACCUAAUUCCAAACUGUGAAUUUGUCGUAGAACUUGCGCUUUGUAACAUGUUAACCGGACCUUGUACAUGAUUUUGGACUUUUAAUAUCAGGCCCUUGCCUUGAUUCUGCUAUUAACUCGUACAGAUUUGGACUUCAAUUAGGCCUGAAAGUUGGACCGACACUGGAAUUUGAUUUUUGGACUUGAGUCUCUCUAAUUAAAAAUUAAUUUAAAGAAAUAAGAAAUCAAAAUUUAAUUGAAUUUAUUCGGAGAAUCAAUAUAUUACUAUCUUUUUUAUUUUCAAGUAAUGUUUAAGAGCAAAUGUGAACUAUUUUGGUUUUGUUAUAAGCUAUAGCUUGCGGGCUCAUUCUGAGUAUGUGAUUUUGGUUUUCAGAGACACGCUCCGUGAGCUUUAGACCUCUUGAGCUGGAUUAAUCGAGCUUCUAUACUUGACGACAUGGAUGGAAUAUUUUUUAUUUAUGAUGACAAAACAUCAAUAGAUGGGGAUUAAGUUAAUUUGGAUAUUACACAUCGCACCUCGAGAAUUACUAGAGCAUCCAAGAAAAGGGGUUAAUUUGCAGAAUUUGAUUUUGAUACUGACAACCUAAUUAUAGUAUUUUGAGCUCUGAGGGUAAUUAUGUUAUUAUUUUGCUAGGAUAAAGUAAGAAAGGCCAAGAAUUUCUUUAUUUGUAGGAAUGGCUGAUGACAGAAGGGAUGGAGAGAAUGAUAAUAUAUUUUACCGAAUUCUUCUUUAAUUAUAAAAAAGAAUUUAGAUUAAAAAUUAAAUUAUUAUUAUGUAUUAUCUAAAAUAUUAGUUCAACUAAGAAAUCAUAUAAAAUCAACAUUAUUUUAUAAAAAAUACAAAAAUGGUACAAACACAUCAACUACCGAGAUUUACAUGACAAAUUAAUUACAUAUAAAAGCUUAUAAAAUUGAACAACAAUUUAAAUACACAAAACAAAAACACGAUAUGAAUCCACAAUUUUUUUCCCUAAAUUGAAUAUUAUUAAAAUUUAUAUAAAAUGAGAUGAGUUUAGACAUAAUAUAACGUGAACAUAUAUAUCAUUUUCUAAAUUAAAUUGUUAUAAUGGCUUAUGCAAAAUAAAAUGACACAAAAUUAAUAAAAAAAAUAUUAAAAUGCAUGAAAGCUAUAUCAAAUAAAUUUUUAGCAUGUACAUAGGUUCAAAAUAUAUUUUAGUUUAUUUUAAUUACUCGCUACAUCAAUUUGCUAAGUCCUUUAUAUGUGUGUUUUCGUUUAUUUUCAAAUAUUUGAUUUUUAAGGGGUCUAUUUGAUGGUAAAAUUGACUCCCUGUGAUCAGUUAAUAUAGUAUUAAGAUCAAGUAUUACAGUAGUAUAAAAUAUAUGUUUGAAUUGAUUCAGGCGGUGAGAUAACUUUGAACGGAAUGGUGUUCAAAGUUAUUUUCAGAUACGUGUUCGGUAUAGGUUUAAAUCGUUUUACUUUAAUCUCUUAUUCUUAAUAUUGAAAAAAAAAGUAGUGAUAUGAGAGUACAAAAUAAUCAUCCAAGACAUAACAUAUGUUUAUAUAUAAGAGAAAUUAUUUGGUAUAUUGCCGCAAGCAAGAACAGGAUAUAUUGCUAGUAUACUAAAUACUCAUCCUAUAUGAUACAAAAUAAAAAUAUAAAAAUUUUAUUUAUAUUAAAAAAAAAGAAAAUAUUUGGUAUACUCUAAGUGGAGAUUUUAGACACCAAAAGGAGGAUUAAAGGUUGAAAUAUUUAAAAAAAAGAAAAAGGAGGGGGGCAGAUGCCAAUUUUUUAAAGUUACUUGUGGAAUAAAAGAAAUACAAUUAUUAUCAAAAAAUUAUUAAAAUUAGGGAUGAGUAUUUGAUCGAAUCGAAUAAAAAAAUUUUAAGUUAAUCGAGUUGACAAAUCUUAUUUUAUGAUCCUAACUCGAUUUGAAAUUUUCUUGAAUUGAAUCAAAUAUAUUUGUUUGAGUUAAACUAAAACAAUGACUUCGGGUCCUUAUAACCACUGCCACCCAGCAUAAUCAAAUUUACC